rnacentral:lncRNA from 1 species
ACACACAGGUUUGGAUUCUCUCAAAAGGAAGUUGAAGAAGCUUUUGAAACAAGUGCUGCUGGUGGUGAUGCUAUUAAAGUCAUGUUUAAUCUGUAAAAGAAAAAAAAAUAAGUUACCAAAUUCACCUGAAACUAUAUAUCCAAAAAGAUGUUUUAUGCUUCUAUAUACAUGUUCUUUGUGUCUGUUUGAGUCUUUGUUAGAACUAUGCAUUACUUGAAAAAAUAUAGACUGGUCAAAUAAAGGCAGUUGGCUAUUUGGCUUGAGGUGUUACCAACAUUUGUGUUAAUACAUGCUCUCUCCACUUCAUUUUAUGUGGCGGGGUUCGGAGUAUGAGGGUCAAGCUAAAUAGUGAUAGUCCCACAUAAAAUGGAACAGUGGGAGUAAGUCAUUAACCAGUUAGGCAAAUUAAUAUAUAAUACAUUCAAACCUCUUUAACCAAACAUUUUUGGCGUCUUAGCAAUGGAAAUAGGAUUCCUCCACCUUUAACCAGAGGUCCAUUCAAUUUCUAAAUUACGACUGACUUGCUUCUUUGCUAUGUUGCUCAGACUCUCCAAAAACGUUAUCGCACUCAUGUCGGAUCAUUAAAAAAUGUAUUAUUUUUGGAGGAUCCGUCGUGCACCCGAUGGUAUUUUUGAAGAGUUCGAAUAUCAUAGUUUCCUUGCGGUAACAAACCAAACUUCACUUAUUUGUUAGGUUCAAUGGACCAGGUCAAAAGUUUGGAAAUCUGCCAUUAAUUAACAUAUUUGAUGGUUUUGUAGGUACAAAUCCAAAAUAUUUUAAUCUAUCUGUUUCUUUCCACAGUGAAAAUCUCUUAUUUAUUAUGAUGCAAUUUCUUGCGUAUUGAACAAGUCAUGAGACUUUUCUUUUGUGUUUCUGAAAUUUUAACUAAAUAGUUUGAAUAUGAAGUCUUUACAAUUACCAAACCAUUUGAAAGUCAAGAAAAUUAGAAUAAAAUAGGAAAUCCCCAAGCUUCCAAGGACCUUUCCUAGCCAAUCAUUAGUUUCCAUAUCCUCAAAAGUUAAAAAGUUACUAUUAUCAAAUUAAUUUUUUUUCACACUUUUAUCAUGUAUAAUAAUAGUCAAAUUUACCUGCUUAUAAUUUUUGCCACAUUGAAAACAAGUGGAUGGCCAUGAUUUGUGUAACAAAUGAUUUGUACUAACUACCUUCUAGCUUUGAAAUUCCUACUUUGUCAUUCAAGAUUUUUUGAAAGGUAGACUUGGCGUACCUAGUAAAGUUGCUGACAUGUGACCAGGAGGUCACGGGUUCGAGCAGUGGAAAUAGCCUCUUGCAGAAAUGCAGAGUAAGACUGCGUACAAUAGAUCUUUGUGGUCCAGCCCUUCCUGGAUCCCGGGUGCUGUCCUUUCAUUCAAGAUUUUGCUGCUGAAAUUCAAAACUAGAAGCCAUUCAACAUAGUCAAAGUAGUCUCUCCAAUUGUUUACUUCCCCUUGUGAUUUCAACAACAAACCAAUGUUUCUUUUGAUAAAAGACUAUUAUCCUUCUUCUAUAUAAAGUAGUUGUAUUACCAUGUUGUUUUCACUUGUGGAAUAAAAAAUAUGGCUAAAGUGAAUUUACUUCUUCAUUUCCUACUCAUUUGCUUUCUUCUGCUACCAAAUUUUGCAUUGUCCCAAUCAAAAAAUGAUGUGAUAAUUGGCUCAUUACUUAUAGCUGGUGAUGAUAAAGUAUCUGCAUGGAUGUCUCCUUCUGGAGAUUUUGCAUUUGGAUUUCAACAACUAGGAAAUGAAGAUCAAUUCCUAGUUUCAAUAUGGUACAACAAAAUUUCUGAAAAAACUAUUGUUUGGUAUGCAAAUGGAGAUAAUCCAGCUCCUAAAGGAUCAAGAAUCGAGCUCGUUGCUGAUCGCGGACUAGUCCUCACUAGUCCUCAACAACAAGAGUCUGAUUUCUGAUCCAUUAAUUGGUACAGUUGCUUAUGGUUCUAUGAAAGAUACAGGUAAUUUUGUACUUGUCAAUAAAAAUUCUGAAAGUUUAUGGCAAAGUUUUAAUCAGAGCAAAGACACAAUCUUGCCAAGUCAAGAAUUUGGAGAAGGAUUCAAGCUUUCUUCUCGUCGAUCAGAGACUAAUUUUUCGAGGGGAAGAUUCUUGCUCAGAAUGUUUCGAAAUGGAAAUAUUGGAAUUGCUACUGUAAACUUGCCAAGUGAGUAUAUAAAUGAGAAUUUUUAUUUGCUUCGAAGUUUCGAUCAAUUGAAUGCAACAAAUUACCAGCUCAAAUUCAAUGAAUCAGGCCAAAUUUUCCAUUUGGUUAACAACAGCAAAGAGGUUGUUCUUUCAAAAGGUGAAGUAGGAUCAUCCACAAGAUUUUAUCACAGAGCAACACUUAAUUUUGACGGUAUAUUUACUUUGUAUCAGCACCCGAAAGAGCCUAAAGGUGAUAGUGUUUGGUCUUCUGUUUGGUCAAUUCCAGAUAAUAUCUGUUAUAGUUUUCCUACAGUAGGAGGCAGUGGAGUUUGUGGAUAUAACAGAAUCUGUAGACUUAGCAUAGACAAAAGACCGGAUUGUCAAUGCCCGCGAGCAUUUUCUUUAGUCGAUCCAGAAGAUGAUUAUAAAGGUUGCAUACCGGAUUUAGUGCAAGAUUGUGGUGACAAUCAAGAUAAUGCAGGAAAUCAGCUUGAAAUGGAAACUGUGACGAAUAUCGAUUGGCCAACGAGUGAUUAUGAGCUUCUGCAGCCUUUUGAUGAAGAGAAGUGCAAGAAUGCAUGUUUGAAUGAUUGCAAGUGUGCUGUUUCUGUUUUAAGAGAAAAUAGUUGUUGGAAGAAGAAAUUACCACUUUCAAAUGGAAGAGUGGAUAACAGAGUGAAUUCUAAAGCAUUCAUCAAAAGAAGGAAAGGUAAUAUUGCUUUAGAAGGCCCUAAUUCAAGAGAGCCAAAAAAGAAAAAUCAAGAUACUAUUAUCCUUAUUAUAUCAGUGUUCUUAGGUAGUUCUGUUUUUGUUAAUUGCUUACUUCUUGGAGUACUUUCUCUGGGAUUUUUACUCGUUUAUCGCAACAAAACCUCAACGUUUGAUCGAAAUGAAAGUUCCAUGGAUCAGACUUUAAGAUACUUCUCUUUCAAAGAGCUGUCAAAAGCCACAGAAGGAUUCAAGGAAGAACUUGGAAGAGGGGCUUUUGGCAUUGUCUACAAAGGUAUCGUAGAAAUUGGAAAACCUAUUCCAGUGGCAGUCAAGAAACUGGAUCGGAUAAUCCAAGAUGGGGAAGAGGAAUUCAAGACUGAAGUGAAUGUGAUAGGCCAAACUCAUCACAAGAAUUUAGUCCGAUUACUCGGAUUUUGUGAUGAAGGUCCUCAUAGAUUACUUGUAUAUGAAUUCUUAAACAAUGGUACAUUAGCAAGUUUCCUUUUUGGUGAUCUGAAGUUGACAUGGAACCAAAGGACUCAAGUGGCACUCGGGAUAGCUAGAGGACUCUUGUAUUUGCACGACGAGUGCAGUACACAAAUCAUUCAUUGUGACAUAAAGCCUCAGAACAUACUUCUUGACAAUCAAUACGAUCCAAGAAUAUCGGAUUUUGGAUUAGCAAAGUUGCUAAGGAUGGAUCAAAGUGAGAUUCAAACAGCAAUAAGAGGAACAAAAGGAUAUGUUGCACCAGAAUGGUUUCGAAACAUGCCAAUCACAGUCAAAGCAGAUGUGUAUAGCUUUGGUGUUUUACUCUUAGAAAUCAUUUGUUGUAGGAGAAAUGUAGACAUUGAAGCUGGUGAAGACAAGGCAAUAUUAACUUACUGGGAUUAUGAUUGCUACCAAGAAGGAACAAUAUAUCAGCUCGUCCAAAAUGAUUC